GUUCCUGUAGCUCAAUUGGUAGAGCAUUGUGCUAUCAAGCGCAAGGUUGGGGGUUCGAUUCCCCCCCGGGAACA